rnacentral:rRNA from 1 species
UACGGGGGGAGCAAGCGUUGUUCGGAUUUACUGGGCGUAAAGGGCGCGUAGGCGGUCAGCACAAGUCAGUUGUGAAAUCUCCGGGCUUAACUCGGAAAGGUCAACUGAUACUGUGCGACUAGAGUGCGGAAGGGGCAACUGGAAUUCUUGGUGUAGCGGUGAAAUGCGUAGAUAUCUGGAGGAACACCGGUGGCGAAGGCGGCGUUCUGGACUGCAACUGACACUGAGAAACGAAAGCCAGGGUAGCAAACGGG